UACGUAGGGUGCAAGCGUUGUCCGGAAUUAUUGGGCGUAAAGAGCUCGUAGGCGGUCUGUCGCGUCUGCUGUGAAAUCUCAGGGCUUAACCCUGAGCUUGCAGUGGGUACGGGCAGACUAGAGUGCGGUAGGGGGAGACUGGAAUUCCUGGUGUAGCGGUGAAAUGCGCAGAUAUCAGGAGGAACACCGGUGGCGAAGGCGGCUCUCUGGAACGCAACUGACGCUGAGACGCGAAAGCGUGGGGAGCAAACAGG
rnacentral:rRNA from 1 species